CGGCUGCAUUACGACACCAGCGAAAUUGAUGAGCAGCUCUACUAUCUCGGUUGUAGCUCGGCGGACGAGAGUAUUUCACUUCUUAUUUCUGCAUUUCUUCCGAAUCUAUCUCCCCACUCAGCUAUGCAGGUGUGUAAGGGGUGAAGUUCUCAAUGGGAGCCGAGACUAUCGCACAGUGCCAGUAGAGAGACACCGAUGAAGUGUCAGUCAUGCUGGUGGCUGGCAGCGACGGCAGAGCAGAGCGUGACAUGCCAGUUGUUUUUUCCUGAGGGGAUGUGUGUUUUCUUGGUCUUGGAUCCACGGAGUGAUAGCAGAAUGUUCCAUUUAUUCUAUGGUUCUUUCCUUCCCUUCUUAUUUCUGCCACCAUGGCAUGAUCCAGAGCAGGGCGGUGUAACUGGGUGAUUCAACAUCACUGUUAUAGUGAUAGGAAGAGACACGGAGGAUUUUGCAACAAGUGCAAGUAGGAAAACCGUAAAGGUUAUUUUCCCCUUCAUAAUCAACGCAGUUCUCUCUGGCAGUGUUCAAGCCUUAGCAGCAGUCAAUCUGAGUGUUUCUGACUUCUGGCUGAUUUGUUCUUCUUCUUCUGAUGAUGACAGUUGGCAGCUCUCUUCUGGUUUCUUCGGACAGCUCAGUGUCAGUGAGUAGAGAGGCAGUGCUGGUUUUAUAGUGACUUGUAUUUCCAUUCACUUACAAAAGUGAGACAUACAUUUCUCCUGUAGAUUAGUAGUAUGCUUCGUACGGGUAGGAUAACUUACUGUGUAUUUUCUAUCCAAUACAGCUUGGUUUUAUAGUGACUUGUAUUUCCAUUCACUUACAAAAGUGAGACACAAUUCUCCAGUAGAUUAGUAGUACGCUUCGUCCGGGUAGGAUAACUUACUGUCUACUAUUUUCUAUCCAAUACAGCUUGGUUUUUAUAGUGACUGACUUGACUUGCCAUUUCGGAUCCUAAUUUAUUCGGAUAACCUUCCUAAUAAGUGUUGUUGUAGAUAUUGAGAGAUGACUGUAUCCUACUAGAGCACUGUCGAGUCGGGAUCUUGUCAGACCGAGACACUGAGAAUGCAGAGCACAGUUCGUUUUCUAACAGAACAAAGACUGAAUAUACCAAAGCCACUGCAUCACAGAGAAUUGUGCCAAACCAGCCCUGAUAACAGCGUUGAUCACCUCUCCCACGAACAUAACCUUUUAUAAGGACUUUUUGCAUUAUGCACGGAUCAAACAAUGAAGUGAAAUACUCGUCCGCCGAGCCAAAACGAGCUUCACCCGAGACAGUAAAGCUGCUCCGCUGCUUCACUGGUGUCAUAACGCAGCCAUGUUCCUGCCUCUGACUACCAUCGUCCUCACAGAGCCCAGCCUCUCUUCUCCGGACCGGCAACACUACAGCUGCUCCUCGGAGUGAAGCCGCUUUUCGAGCGUCAAAAUUGGAAUUAUUCUUUGGAGCUCUCUCACAUAUAAUAGGCCUACAUAGCACACAGAGGUAUACAGUAAAACAGUCAAAUGGAACAAAUAAAACAUUUCUAAAAUCC
rnacentral:lncRNA from 1 species